GUCGUAAUCNGAUACCUCCCAUCACACAUGUAUCCGCCUGAGAACUACGAGCACAAACGCUUAAAACUCUAAGGACUUGGCGGUGCCCCAAACCCACCUAGAGGAGCCUGUUCUAUAAUCGAUAAUCCACGAUUCACCCAACCACCCCUUGCCAGCACAGCCUACAUACCGCCGUCGCCAGCCCACCUCUAAUGAAAGAACAACAGUGAGCUCAAUAGCCCCUCGCUAAUAAGACAGGUCAAGGUAUAGCCUAUGGGGUGGGAGA
rnacentral:rRNA from 1 species